rnacentral:rRNA from 1 species
GACGAACGCUGGCGGCGCGCUUAACACAUACAAGUCGAGCGAGAACCGGGGCUUCGGCCCCGGGGACAGCGGCGAACGGGUGAGUAACACGUGAGUAACCUGCCCUCGGCACCGGAAUAGCCCGGGGAAACCCGGAUUAAUGCCGGAUAGCCCCACCGUCCUGCGGGACGAUGGGAAAAGGUAGCUUCGGCCUCUGGCCGAGGAAGGGCGCGCGGCGGAUUAGCUUGUUGGCGGGGUAACGGCCCACCAAGGCGACGAUCCGUAGCUGGUCUGAGAGGACGAUCAGCCACACUGGGACUGAGACACGGCCCAGACUCCUACGGGAGGCAGCAGUGGGGAAUCUUGCGCAAUGGGCGAAAGCCUGACGCAGCGACGCCGCGUGGGGGAAGAAGGCCUUCGGGUUGUAAACCUCUUUCAGGUGGGACGAAGCCACUCGGGUGAAUAGCCCAGAGGGUGACGGUACCUCCAGAAGAAGCCCCGGCUAACUACGUGCCAGCAGCCGCCGUAA